rnacentral:rRNA from 1 species
CUGGCUCAGGAUGAACGCUGGCGGCGUGCCUAAUACAUGCAAGUCGAACGCACAGCGAAAGGUGCUUGCACCUUUCAAGUGAGUGGCGAACGGGUGAGUAACACGUGGACAACCUGCCUCAAGGCUGGGGAUAACAUUUGGAAACAGAUGCUAAUACCGAAUGAAACUUAGUGUCGCAUGAUACGAAGUUAAAAGGCGCUUUGGCGUCACCUAGAGAUGGAUCCGCGGUGCAUUAGUUAGUUGGUGGGGUAAAGGCCUACCAAGACAAUGAUGCAUAGCCGAGUUGAGAGACUGAUCGGCCACAUUGGGACUGAGACACGGCCCAAACUCCUACGGGAGGCUGCAGUAGGGAAUCUUCCACAAUGGGCGAAAGCCUGAUGGAGCAACGCCGCGUGUGUGAUGAAGGCUUUCGGGUCGUAAAGCACUGUUGUAUGGGAAGAACAGCUAGAAUAGGGAAUGAUUUUAGUUUGACGGUACCAUACCAGAAAGGGACGGCUAAAUACGUGCCAGCAGCCGCGGUAAUACGUAUGUCCCGAGCGUUAUCCGGAUUUAUUGGGCGUAAAGCGAGCGCAGACGGUUGAUUAAGUCUGAUGUGAAAGCCCGGAGCUCAACUCCGGAAUGGCAUUGGAAACUGGUUAACUUGAGUGCAGUAGAGGUAAGUGGAACUCCAUGUGUAGCGGUGGAAUGCGUAGAUAUAUGGAAGAACACCAGUGGCGAAGGCGGCUUACUGGACUGUAACUGACGUUGAGGCUCGAAAGUGUGGGUAGCAAACAGGAUUAGAUACCCUGGUAGUCCACACCGUAAACGAUGAACACUAGGUGUUAGGAGGUUUCCGCCUCUUAGUGCCGAAGCUAACGCAUUAAGUGUUCCGCCUGGGGAGUACGACCGCAAGGUUGAAACUCAAAGGAAUUGACGGGGACCCGCACAAGCGGUGGAGCAUGUGGUUUAAUUCGAAGCAACGCGAAGAACCUUACCAGGUCUUGACAUCCUUUGAAGCUUUUAGAGAUAGAAGUGUUCUCUUCGGAGACAAAGUGACAGGUGGUGCAUGGUCGUCGUCAGCUCGUGUCGUGAGAUGUUGGGUUAAGUCCCGCAACGAGCGCAACCCUUAUUGUUAGUUGCCAGCAUUCAGAUGGGCACUCUAGCGAGACUGCCGGUGACAAACCGGAGGAAGGCGGGGACGACGUCAGAUCAUCAUGCCCCUUAUGACCUGGGCUACACACGUGCUACAAUGGCGUAUACAACGAGUUGCCAACCCGCGAGGGUGAGCUAAUCUCUUAAAGUACGUCUCAGUUCGGAUUGUAGUCUGCAACUCGACUACAUGAAGUCGGAAUCGCUAGUAAUCGCGGAUCAGCACGCCGCGGUGAAUACGUUCCCGGGUCUUGUACACACCGCCCGUCACACCAUGGGAGUUUGUAAUGCCCAAAGCCGGUGGCCUAACCUUUUAGGAAGGAGCCGUCUAAGGCAGGACAGAUGACUGGGGUGAAGUCGU